CGUCUUAAUUUUAGUCUAUUAAGGAAUAAUUUUUAUUUAUUACAUUUUCUAUAGAUGGUGUCACAGAUGUUUCAUGCAAAAUGAAGAAAUUCGUUGCUGAUAUUGUUGUGUCAAAAGUGUUUACUACAAAACAA